ACGAAGUUUUUCGGAACUUAGUGGCGGACGGGUGAGUAACGCGUGAGAAUCUGCCUUUUGGUCGGGGACAACCACUGGAAACGGUGGCUAAUACCGGAUGUGCCCUUAGGGGUGAAAGAUUAAUUGCCAGAAGAAGAGCUCGCGUCUGAUUAGCUAGUUGGUGAGGUAAAGGCUCACCAAGGCGGCGAUCAGUAGCUGGUCUGAGAGGAUGACCAGCCACACUGGGACUGAGACACGGCCCAGACUCCUACGGGAGGCAGCAGUGGGGAAUUUUCCGCAAUGGGCGAAAGCCUGACGGAGCAAUACCGCGUGAGGGAGGAAGGCUCUUGGGUUGUAAACCUCUUUUAUCAGGGAAGAACCAAAUGACGGUACCUGAAGAAUCAGCAUCGGCUAACUCCGUGCCAGCAGCCGCGGUAAUACGGAGGAUGCAAGCGUUAUCCGGAAUUAUUGGGCGUAAAGCGUCCGCAGGUGGCUCAUCAAGUCUGCUGUCAAAGGCAGGGGCUUAACCCCUGAAAGGCAGUGGAAACUGGAGAGCUAGAGUGCAGUAGGGGUAGAGGGAAUUCCCGGUGUAGCGGUGAAAUGCGUAGAGAUCGGGAAGAACAUCGGUGGCGAAAGCGCUCUGCUGGACUGCAACUGACACUAAAGGACGAAAGCUAG
rnacentral:rRNA from 1 species